rnacentral:rRNA from 1 species
AUUAACGCUGGCGGCGUGCAUGAGACAUGCAAGUCGAACGGACGGGCGAGCUUGCUCGCCCGUUAGUGGCGGACGGCUGAGUAACGCGUGGGUGACCUGCCCCGAAGUGGGGAAUAACUGCCCGAAAGGGUGGCUAAUACCGCAUGUGGUGACUGGUUCGUUCCAGUCUCCAAAGCCGCAAGGCGCUUCGGGAGGGGCCUGCGUCCGAUUAGCUCGUUGGUGGGGUAACGGCUCAUCAAGGCGACGAUCGGUAGGUG